rnacentral:rRNA from 1 species
CAGUCGCCACGGGAAUACGUAGGGUGCAAGCGUUAAUCGGAAUUACUGGGCGUAAAGCGUGCGCAGGCGGUUUGUUAAGACAGAUGUGAAAUCCCCGGGCUCAACCUGGGAACUGCAUUUGUGACUGGCAAGCUAGAGUGUGGCAGAGGGGGGUGGAAUUCCGCGUGUAGCAGUGAAAUGCGUAGAUAUGCGGAGGAACUCCGAUGGCGAAGGCAGCCCCCUGGGCCAACACUGACGCUCACGCACGAAAGCGUGGGGAGCAAACAGGAUUAGAUACCCCAGUAGUCCCUGUCUCUUAUAC